AAGAAGUUUAUUAAUGAAGAUUAGAGGUUUUUUGUUCAAAGCAACUGCCUGUUAUCUUUUUUUUUUUCUCUCUCAAGGAUUUGGGUCAAUAC